ACUCUAAAAAAAAAAGGUUCCUUGAGGUUCUAUAUAGAACCGUGGGGUUCUAUACUUGGCCAAUAGAACCUUUUACCAAAAAACGGGUUCCAUAUAGAACCCUUGGAAGGCAAAGAACCAUUUUUAUUAAAAUGGUUCUAUAAUUCACGUUUUGUGACUGAAGUGUAAACUAAAGAUUACACAAUAAUUGCAGACCUACACAACUCAUUUACAAACCUACACAACUCAUUCACAAACCUUUUUGUGUCAAUAGGUUGUGGUCAAAUAAAGAGAGAGUCAACAAAUAGGCUACUAAUAUUUAGUGUACACUGUAAAAAAUCCAACUAAUGAAAUGUUGGACGGGCAAAAAUAUAUAAGUUAAACCAAUUUUUUUGUUUGAGCUAGUUGAGAAGAUCUGUGUUUAAAAUAUUAAAUGAAUGGUUAUUUUCAAAUCCAGUCAACAUUCAGAAUGGCUAGUGUUGACUGAACUAAUUAAGACAAAUCAGGUAAAUAUGUGGACUUAUGACAGCUAUGUUUCCUGACAACAAAAUGCUCAUAAUAUUACUGUUAUUUGGUCACAAAAUGUAAUUGUAAGAGUUGUUCAGGCGUGAAUGUAUGUGCUUAAAGUUUAAAUAUGCGGUCGGUUAAUAAAGAAUAGCGUCUAUUUAAAAAUGUGCUCGGACACUUUCGGACGUAGAUGAGCUCCAUAUGAGCUCCAGAAAAUCACAGACACUUAAGCGCUCACACCCCGCCCAGCGCAGCCUCUCCUCGGCAAGCCCAUCAGACUGCUGGCUCUGAUAUCUCUGUGGCGUUUAAACAUGUGAUUUAAUUCAUUUUGAUUUCUCAUACUUAACAAUGAAAGGGUUAUGUUUUAAAUAAUAUUUUAGGAUUGCACUUAAUUGAUAUUGCUGUUGAGUGAUGUUUCAUAUCUUUUACAUUUGUUAUAACCGGACUGCAUGCGAAUUUGAACUUCAGAGCUGAGGAAGCGGGUGGAGAAAUAGUCCCAAUAUCAUAACAAUCUUAAAUAAAACUUCUAAAUAUGCCCGUGUGUGUACCCGUGUGCGCGCGCGCGUGCGCGCGACCCGCUCACGCGCGCGUGUGUAUGUACAGUAUGUGCGUGAGUUUUUAAUUUAAAAUGUCUUAACUUAACUCGGAAGGAUCUGAAUGACAGGUCAUUUCAUCUGAGAUCAUUCCGCAUGUAACAGCCGGAAUCACUCACUGUUUCCCACAACGACACGAGUCAUCAGCCGUUUCCUCAAGGUCACGUCAGAGGGGUGGUGAUGUGGAGAGGCAGACCAGACCACCACCAUACGCGAAGAUGAGCCUCGAGGCUUGACAGUUAUUUUUUUCAAACUGAGGAGUUCGGACUCCGGACCGGCAUUUCUGCUUGUUUGUACCCUGAGAUAACCAUGGUUAAUAAAUGGUCAGACACGUCACUGGCUUUAAAAUAUAAACCCCAUUGAUGCAAAAAGGAGCUGCAUGGAAUGACAAUGUGGUUUGGAACAGACUUGGUGAAGAACAUGGAAACAUCAUCAGGAGUGCAAAAGAAGGAAGUAAAAAACAUCUCUACGCCAAUCUCAUUGGAGAGGAAACCACAGAAGGUCUGGUGAGGAAUGCUGCACUUAUGUUAUUGCAAACAUUAUUUCAAGAAAAUCCCAGCUUCCUUUACUGUGUAAAUAGUGAACCCAAAGGUCCCACACCAACCAUAGUGUUCAACGGCUCUCCUGAUCUUUUCAAAUCUGAAUGUAUCAACUUUAUAAUGGACAAUGUGAACUUAAUAUGUGGAAGACAUUGACAUCACAGGCUGUGGAAUGACUGUGUCACAGGUCGGAGAAGCGGACCGCCCCUGUCGCGGAUCACGCUCCUCCUAGUUCCACCUCGAGGAGGUCCCAAAGCACCCCAAUGACCAGACAAACCAGAGGGGGAGUAUUACGGGGCCAGGGACGUUGGAGGGGUUUCCACGUGACUCCAGCUGGAACACCGCUACAGAGCGUAUCUGGGUGGGUUGGGCACACACCGUCGCGGCGGCCCCUGAUGGCAUCCACAAGGGUCCAAGACCCUCCUAAGCUCCUAGCCGUAGCAGAACUACGUAUUUCAGCACCCGAAGGACUAACAACCCAGCCGGCAUCUGCAGCUUAUAUCCAACGCGAUCAAACUUCACUCUGACAAGUAACUUCCUAUACACAACCACGCCGUCCUUUCGCCCGGACCAGCCCCGCACUCUUUCCGCCCGCUACCUAGCGGUUGCCGGAUCAGCAGAGCCUGCGGACUCUUCGGAGGCUGGUCUUCGUUGUGCUGCCCAAGGCGGAAGUUGACUCGCCCGAAAAUCGAACCUUCCAGUAACUACUACCUUCUCUCUAUAUAUCCUCCUCCCAGGCGUGGCUCCCCCAACCAUCGCUCGCCACAUCACUCACACAGCUGUGCCUUGUUUCAGCGAGUGCGGGGAUUCCCGGGGAACCCUGAAGUGCCGGUGUCUGUACAAACCGGUCCGGGGGAACCUCUUCACUCUCCUUUUGGUUCCGCCCCGCAUAGUCACUCUGUGACAACUGCUUGCGUUUUUUUUUCUCUUCAAUGUUCAAUACCCUUUUGCCAUUAAGCACACAGUGACUUUAAUUUAUAAAAUAUAUGCUUAAGUUUUAAUACCUGUACAAAACAAAUGUACAAUCAACUUGUGUAAAUUGUCAUUCUAUUUAAUAGAUUGUUCAUGAAUUGUCUUUAAAUGCAUUGUGAUUUCGGUAACACUUUACAAUAAAGUUCAUUAGUUAACAUUAGUUAAUGUAUUAACUAACUUGAACAAACCAUAAGCAAUACAUUUGUUACAGUAUUUAUUCAUCUUUGUUAAUGUUAGUUAAUAAAAAUUUAAGCUUUAAUUGCUUGUUCAUGUUAGUUCAGAGUGCAUUAAUCAAUGUUAACAAGAUUUUAAUAAAGUAAAUUGUUGAAAUUAACAUUAACAAAGAUUAAUAAAGGCUGUAUAAGUGCAGUUCAUUAUUAGUUCAUGUUAACUAAUGUAGCUAACUAAUGUUAACUAAUGAACCUUAUUGUAAAGUGUUACCGUGAUUUCUUUUCAUCAUUUCAGACACAUGUAAAAGUUACAAAAAAUUAAUACUGCAUAUACUGUACAGUAUCUAUGCGUAAGGGAAAUAACUUAAACAAAAUUUUUAAUGUAUAGUGUAAUUAAGAGUUUAGCUGUUUAAUACAGAGAUGCAAUUUAUUUAUAUAUAUUAUUUAUAUAUAAACGUAUGUAUGUUUAUUAAAAAGUGAAAAUGCUUAAUGGAAAUAAUUAAAUAACUAAAUGGUUGAAUGUAAUGAGACAUUUUAAAUGUAAACUAAAGUUUUGCUGUCUAAUACAGAAUAAAGAGAUGUGAUUUUAAGUAA